rnacentral:rRNA from 1 species
UACAGAGGUCCCAAGCGUUGUUCGGAAUUACUGGGCGUAAAGCGUGCGCAGGCGGUGAUGUAAGACAGGUGUGAAAUCCCCGGGCUUAACCUGGGAACUGCAUUUGUGACUGCAUCGCUGGAGUGCGGCAGAGGGGGAUGGAAUUCCGCGUGUAGCAGUGAAAUGCGUAGAUAUGCGGAGGAACACCGAUGGCGAAGGCAAUCCCCUGGGCCUGCACUGACGCUCAUGCACGAAAGCGUGGGGAGCAAACAG